AUAUGACUUAAGAGGCAACUCUUAACUGGCCAGGUAGGGAAAGACCGAGAGGUUCAAGCCUACCGAGCAGAAAGCCCUGCAGAGUAGUGCUAAAAUGGCAGGGCGGCGGGUUCGGCGGUAGCACAUCAACGACGAACCAA
rnacentral:sRNA from 10 species